UACGAGGGGGGCAAGCGUUGUUCGGAAUUAUUGGGCGUAAAGGGCGCGUAGGCGGUGCGGUAAGUCACCUGUGAAAACUCUGGGCUCAACUCAGAGCCUGCAGGCGAAACUGCCGUGCUUGAGUGUGGGAGAGGUGCGUGGAAUUCCCGGUAUAGCGGUGAAAUGCGUAGAUAUCGGGAGGAACACCUGUGGCGAAAGCGGCGCACUGGACCACAACUGACGCUGAGGCGCGAAAGCUAGGGGAGCAAACAGG
rnacentral:rRNA from 1 species